UAUUUUUUCUAUCUACGGCCGGCCGUACCACCCAGAACAUGUCUGAUCUCAGAAGCUAAGCAGGGCCAGGCCUGGUUAGUACUUGAAUGGGAGAAAUACUUUUUCCCACUCUGAAUAAAAAGGUAAAGAAAUCU
ensembl:rRNA 5S_rRNA 5S ribosomal RNA